rnacentral:lncRNA from 1 species
AGCAAUAAAUGUAUUUACGUUUUACACAUAAUAUGCCUUUAAUAAAUUCUUCUUCAUUAAUUUGUCUAAGCAAGAAAUAGGAAAAUGCAAGAAUAGCAUAGCUGGUGUUAAAGAAGAGUGGGAAGAACAAGAACAAGAGUGGUGGUAAUGAGGAACUAAAGUUUAAUGAAUGGAUUUUUCAUUGUAAAUGGAUUUGAAAAGAAUGAUUGGCAAAGAGGAACUCCAGAGUAGUAGGUGAGGACAGGUGGAAAAAUGGGUAAGAGUAAGAAUUAGAACCCUUUAAACAGAGACUAGUCAGGGCAGACAGCAGAGUUUGCAGGAAGCAGAUCAUAUGGAAAAAUUGGGCUUCUUUAAUAGACAUGGAGAGAUUUUAACAUGAAAGCAGAAGCCGGUGACUUUGUGACAGCCUCUCUGGAUUUUGUCAUCACAGUGACAACUUCUAGAUUAUGUCCGACUGUUUAGUGAAAGCAGCUGUCAUAUUCCUUAAAACUGCAAUCCUCUGGUGUAAGUCCUUCACAAACAACGGGACUUGGGAGCUGGGCUUUAGCUGUUCACCAUCACUCAAGGAAGUAAUUUGGAAUGUUUUCCAAAGUCACUAGGGGACCACUUAGUAAAUUGCUACUCUGAGAAGUGGACCAGCGAAAGGAAUUGGAGCGUGCAUGAGGUCAUGGAAUGUUACCGUUCAACUUUGCAGAAGUCCUCCAGAUCCUGAUCUAAUUCAUAGAUAUUUGUAUUUCCCAGACCUCAUCAAGAAGAGAAGAAAGAGGAAAUUUUGGAGAUCUACAUUCUCUGCAACAAAUAGAGAAAACACACCCAGAGGUUUUCCUUCUGGAGGCUGCUGGAGUUUAGGAGAGGAGUGUAUGUUUACUGAGCACGUCUCCUUUUAAGACUUCAUCCUGAAGAGAAAUAUGUGACUUUACCACUCUAUUAGACUGACCUAAGAACAAAAACUUAACCUCGAUGGCAAUUGAGAGAUCAAAAGCAAUUCAGAGAACAUUAAAUAUUGAACAUCUCUGUCUGUCUAAUUGGAUUCUUCUUGCCUCUUCUGUACACACAUGUUCACUUUUAUAGUCAGUUUCAAGUUAAUGUCUUUUCUUCCAGUAGGGUGCAUUGUGGUUGUGCUAAUCAAAAUGUAUUUGAACAUAGACUCCACCGACUCAGUGAAUGCAUGUAUUUUAACAUGUACAUGUGUGUGAGUGAGGACACAUGUAUAAGAGUCAGGUAGGGACAUCAUUGGUACAAGACUACAUGGCUCAUCCCACUUGUAUAAAAGUCAAAAGGUAACUUUGGAUGGGAAAUGUUUCUAUUAGUUCACUACUCUUUCCCUUUUGCUUCACAGAUAGCCCAAGGGUCUUGCCUUUUCAUUGAUCUAGGCUAUGGAGG